rnacentral:rRNA from 1 species
GUGGGGAAUCUUCCGCAAUGGACGAAAGUCUGACGGAGCAACGCCGCGUGAGUGAUGAAGGUCUUCGGAUUGUAAAGCUCUGUUAAUCGGGACGAAAGAGCCUAGUGUGAAUAAUGCUAGGAAGUGACGGUACCGGAAUAGAAAGCCACGGCUAACUACGUGCCAGCAGCCGCGGUAAUACGUAGGUGGCAAGCGUUGUCCGGAAUUAUUGGGCGUAAAGCGCGCGCAGGCGGAUCUGCCAGUCUGUCUUAAAAGUUCGGGGCUUAACCCCGUGAUGGGAUGGAAACUACAGAGCUAGAGUAUCGGAGAGGAAAGUGGAAUUCCUAGUGUAGCGGUGAAAUGCGUAGAUAUUAGGAAGAACACCAGUGGCGAAGGCGACUUUCUGGACGAAAACUGACGCUGAGGCGCGAAAGCCAGGGGAGCGAACGGGAUUAGAUACCCUGGUAGUCC